AGAGUUUGAUCAUGGCUCAGAUUGAACGCUGGCGGCAUGCCUAACACAUGCAAGUCGAACGGCAGCAUUCUCUAGCUUGCUAGAGAGAUGGCGAGUGGCGAACGGGUGAGUAACGCGUAGGGAUCUGCCCUAAAGUGGGGGACAACCCGAGGAAACUCGGGCUAAUACCGCAUAGUCUCUUCGGAGUAAAGCUGGGUUUACCUGGCGCUUUAGGAGGAACCUGCGUCCGAUUAGCUUGUUGGUGAGGUAAAGGCUCACCAAGGCGACGAUCGGUAGCUGUUCUGAGAGGAAGACCAGCCACACUGGGACUGAGACACGGCCCAGACUCCUACGGGAGGCAGCAGUGGGGAAUAUUGGACAAUGGGGGAAACCCUGAUCCAGCAAUGCCGCGUGUGUGAAGAAGGCCUGCGGGUUGUAAAGCACUUUCGGCUAGGAAGAAGUGAGUAGGCUGAAUACGCCUAUCUCAUUGACGUUACUAGCAGAAGAAGCACCGGCUAACUCUGUGCCAGCAGCCGCGGUAAUACAGAGGGUGCAAGCGUUAAUCGGAAUUACUGGGCGUAAAGCGCGCGUAGGUGGGAAACUAAGUUAGAUGUGAAAUCCCUGGGCUCAACCUGGGGUGGUCAUUUGAUACUGGUUACCUAGAGUAUAGGAGAGGGGAGUGGAAUUUCCGGGUGUAGCGGUGAAAUGCGUAGAGAUCGGAAGGAACACCAGUGGCGAAGGCGGCUCCUCUGGCCU
rnacentral:rRNA from 1 species